rnacentral:rRNA from 1 species
CCUACGGGAGGCUGCAGUGGGGAAUAUUGGACAAUGGGGGCAACCCUGAUCCAGCCAUGCCGCGUGUGUGAAGAAGGCCCUCGGGUGGUAAAGCACUUUCAGUGAGGAAGAACGCCUGGUGGUUAAUACCCAUCAGGAAAGACAUCACUCCCAGAAGAACCACCGGCUAACUCCGUGCCAGCAGCCGCGGUAAUACGGAGGGUGCGAGCGUUAAUCGGAAUUACUGGGCGUAAAGCGCGCGUAGGUGGCUUGAUAAGCCGGUUGUGAAAGCCCCGGGCUCAACCUGGGAACGGCAUCCGGAACUGUCAAGCUAGAGUGCAGGAGAGGAAGGUAGAAUUCCCGGUGUAGCGGUGAAAUGCGUAGAGAUCGGGAGGAAUACCAGUGGCGAAGGCGGCCUUCUGGACUGACACUGACACUGAGGUGCGAAAGCGUGGGUAGCAAACAGGAUUAGAUACCCUAGUAGUC